AAUCCAAAAAAACAGAUUUCCUCUGUCCUUAUCUACUAUCAAGCGAGACCACAGCCAAGGGAACGGGCUUGGAUGCACUAGCGAGGAAAGAAGACCCUGUUGAGCUUGACUCUAGUCUGGCAUUGUAAGACGAUAUUGGAGGUGCAGCAUAGGUGGGAGGGCUUCCUUGUGGAUCUCGCCUCUGAGAUACCACCACUCUUACUGUUGCCUUACUUACAUGAUUGGGUGGAACAAGCGCGGACCCCAGGUCCGGAUCGUGCGCGCACCUCCUCCGGGGGGCUGUGGCGGCGGUUCGCCUGCGCGCGCCCAAUGCACCGUGUUUCUCGCUCAGCGUCCAGUGUGUCGCUGGGUGGUGCCGCCGGGGAGACUGCAUCGUAGCAUCGUCGUGUGUAGCGUGUUACCCGCUUGUCCGACCAUGAACCGUGGCCCACAAGGUACAAGCUUGCGUACGUCGGUGCAUUCGUGGUGCGUUGCUUCUGCGCGGUCGAUCGUUUAUGAUGUCACGUUUGCCCCCGGGUUCCGCGCGCGCCGGCUCGAGACUCCUGGACAGGUCCUUUCGGUCACGUCAUGGACAGUG
rnacentral:ncRNA from 1 species